rnacentral:rRNA from 1 species
GAUUGCCUACGGGGCGCAGCAGUGGGGAAUAUUGCACAAUGGGGGAAACCCUGAUGCAGCGACGCCGCGUGAGUGAAGAAGUAUUUCGGUACGUAAAGCUCUAUCAGCAGGGAAGAAAUAAAGUCCUUUGGACUUUGGACGGUACCUGACUAAGAAGCCCCGGCUAACUACGUGUCAGCAGCCGCGGUAAUACGUAGGGGGCAAGCGUUAUCCGGAUUUACUGGGUGUAAAGGGAGCGUAGGCGGCAAGGUAAGCCAGAAGUGAAAGCCCGCGGCUCAACUGCGGGACUGCUUUUGGAACUAUCU